rnacentral:rRNA from 1 species
AAGUCGUAACAAGGUAUCCGUAGGGUGAACCUGCGGGUGGAUCAUUAACAGUAUUAUUCUAUACUUUAACACUUGUGAACCGUAUGAGAGUCUCUCUCUCAAUUUAUUAUACUAUUAGACUGAAACCACUUUAUAUAACAAUUAUAAAACUUUUAGCAACGGAUCUCUGGGCUCUCGCAACGAUGAAGAACGCAGCGAAUUGCGAAAAGUAAUGUGAAUUGCAUAUACCCGUGAAUCAUCAAAUCUUUUGAACGCACCUUGCACCAUUGGGAACUCCCGAUGGUACGUCUGUUUGAGUAUCAAUCAACACCUGCAAACUUUGCUUUUAACCGAGCCAUACUUUGCAUAUCGAUUGGAUAGUUUUAUUACUACCGAUUUAGAUACAUAGUCUAGCCACGCUAGGUCAACAGAGUUUAACACUUCUGAGUGACGAAUGUAGUAGCAUGACUGGGGCUUCUUGAAGUCUUUAACUUUGAUCUCAAAUCAGACCGAGGAUACCCGCUGAACUUAAGCAUAU